AGCGUGGCCGAGUGGUCUAAGGCGCUGGUUUUAGGCACCAGUCUUAUUGUAGGCGUGGGUUCGAAUGCCACCGCUGCCA